rnacentral:rRNA from 1 species
UGGCGGCGUGCUUAACACAUGCAAGUCGAACGGAAAGGCCCCUUCGGGGGUACUCGAGUGGCGAACGGGUGAGUAACACGUGGGCAAUCUGCCCUGCACUUCGGGAUAAGCCUGGGAAACUGGGUCUAAUACCGGAUAGGACCUUUAGGCGCAUGUCUUUAGGUGGAAAGCUUUUGCGGUGUGGGAUGGGCCCGCGGCCUAUCAGCUUGUUGGUGGGGUGAUGGCCUACCAAGGCGACGACGGGUAGCCGGCCUGAGAGGGUGUCCGGCCACACUGGGACUGAGAUACGGCCCAGACUCCUACGGGAGGCAGCAGUGGGGAAUAUUGCACAAUGGGCGCAAGCCUGAUGCAGCGACGCCGCGUGGGGGAUGACGGCCUUCGGGUUGUAAACCUCUUUCACCAUCGACGAAGGUCCGGGUUUUCUCGGAUUGACGGUAGGUGGAGAAGAAGCACCGGCCAACUACGUGCCAGCAGCCGCGGUAAUACGUAGGGUGCGAGCGUUGUCCGGAAUUACUGGGCGUAAAGAGCUCGUAGGUGGUUUGUCGCGUUGUUCGUGAAAUCUCACGGCUUAACUGUGAGCGUGCGGGCGAUACGGGCAGACUAGAGUACUGCAGGGGAGACUGGAAUUCCUGGUGUAGCGGUGGAAUGCGCAGAUAUCAGGAGGAACACCGGUGGCGAAGGCGGGUCUCUGGGCAGUAACUGACGCUGAGGAGCGAAAGCGUGGGGAGCGAACAGGAUUAGAUACCCUGGUAGUCCACGCCGUAAACGGUGGGUACUAGGUGUGGGUUUCCUUCCUUGGGAUCCGUGCCGUAGCUAACGCAUUAAGUACCCCGCCUGGGGAGUACGGCCGCAAGGCUAAAACUCAAAGGAAUUGACGGGGGCCCGCACAAGCGGCGGAGCAUGUGGAUUAAUUCGAUGCAACGCGAAGAACCUUACCUGGGUUUGACAUGCACAGGACGCGUCUAGAGAUAGGCGUUCCCUUGUGGCCUGUGUGCAGGUGGUGCAUGGCUGUCGUCAGCUCGUGUCGUGAGAUGUUGGGUUAAGUCCCGCAACGAGCGCAACCCUUGUCUCAUGUUGCCAGCGGGUAAUGCCGGGGACUCGUGAGAGACUGCCGGGGUCAACUCGGAGGAAGGUGGGGAUGACGUCAAGUCAUCAUGCCCCUUAUGUCCAGGGCUUCACACAUGCUACAAUGGCCGGUACAAAGGGCUGCGAUGCCGCAAGGUUAAGCGAAUCCUUUUAAAGCCGGUCUCAGUUCGGAUUGGGGUCUGCAACUCGACCCCAUGAAGUCGGAGUCGCUAGUAAUCGCAGAUCAGCAACGCUGCGGUGAAUACGUUCCCGGGCCUUGUACACACCGCCCGUCACGUCAUGAAAGUCGGUAACACCCGAAGCCAGUGGCCUAACCCUUGGGAGGGAGCUGUCGAAGGUGGGAUCGGCGAUU